rnacentral:lncRNA from 10 species
CUCCUGCAGCACAAAAACUCCACGAACGUCUGUGUGUGCCUUCACUGGGAACGAGGAGAGGGAGUCAGAGGGCAGCGAGGCCGGGCAGCGAGGGAGGCAGAGCCCCUCUGUUGGUGUGGGGUGGAGGCAGCCUUUUAUCCUGCGCCUCCGGUGCUGUGGCUGGGAAGGCAAGGUACUCAUGCCACCCUCCAAGGUGAAGAGAAGACCCACCUGCUUUUCUCUGCCAUCACCAGAUCCUCCCAGGCACUCUCCCCACAGUCGGUCCAGCCAGGCACACUCGGCCUGAUCUAGUGAUUCAAGCUGUCUUUCCAGGACUUGGCCUCUGCAGGAGAGCAGCUCAGGACACACAGAGAGACAACAGGGACAUGCCUGCACAAGCUGUGAAGAGGCAGUGAGAGGGUGGCUAUCCGCAAGCCAAGGAGAGAUGCCUCUGAGAAGACAGACCCCGCUGGCACCUUGAUCUUGGAAGUCCAGACUCCAGGACUGUGAGAAAAUAAAUGUGUGUUGCACAAGCCUUUCAGUCUGCAGUACUCGCUCUGGCAGACCAAGCUGGCUAACACAGCCCUUCCCCAGCCAGCUACUGUCCUGGUCUAAUGCCCCCAUAGCCAGGACAGGCCUUGCCUCCCUCAAAAUAAAACUCAGUGUCAGCUGGG